GGUAUCAGAAGUGCGAAUGCUGACAUAAGUAACGAUAAAGCGGGUGAAAAGCCCGCUCGCCGGAAGACCAAGGGUUCCUGUCCAACGUUAAUCGGGGCAGGGUGAGUCGACCCCUAAGGCGAGGCCGAAAGGCGUAGUCGAUGGGAAACGGGUUAAUAUUCCCGUACUUGGUGUUACUGCGAAGGGGGGACGGAGAAGGCUAUGUUGGCCGGGCGACGGUUGUCCCGGUUUAAGCGUGUAGGUGUGUGUUCCAGGUAAAUCCGGUUCACUUUAACACUGAGGCGUGAUGACGAGGCACUACGGUGCUGAAGCAACAAAUGCCCUGCUUCCAGGAAAAGCCUCUAAGCAUCAGGUAACAUCAAAUCGUACCCCAAACCGACACAGGUGGUCAGGUAGAGAAUACCAAGGCGCUUGAGAGAACUCGGGUGAAGGAACUAGGCAAAAUGGUGCCGUAACUUCGGGAGAAGGCACGCUGACACGUAGGUGAAGUGAUUUACUCAUGGAGCUGAAGUCAGUCGAAGAUACCAGCUGGCUGCAACUGUUUAUUAAAAACACAGCACUGUGCAAACACGAAAGUGGACGUAUACGGUGUGACGCCUGCCCGGUGCCGGAAGGUUAAUUGAUGGGGUCAGCGCAAGCGAAGCUCCUGAUCGAAGCCCCGGUAAACGGCGGCCGUAACUAUAACGGUCCUAAGGUAGCGAAAUUCCUUGUCGGGUAAGUUCCGACCUGCACGAAUGGCGUAAUGAUGGCCAGGCUGUCUCCACCCGAGACUCAGUGAAAUUGAACUCGCUGUGAAGAUGCAGUGUACCCGCGGCAAGACGGAAAGACCCCGUGAACCUUUACUAUAGCUUGACACUGAACAUUGAGCCUUGAUGUGUAGGAUAGGUGGGAGGCUUUGAAGUGUGGACGCCAGUCUGCAUGGAGCCGACCUUGAAAUACCACCCUUUAAUGUUUGAUGUUCUAACGUGGACCCGUGAUCCGGGUUGCGGACAGUGUCUGGUGGGUAGUUUGACUGGGGCGGUCUCCUCCUAAAGAGUAACGGAGGAGCACGAAGGUUGGCUAAUCCUGGUCGGACAUCAGGAGGUUAGUGCAAUGGCAUAAGCCAGCUUGACUGCGAGCGUGACGGCGCGAGCAGGUGCGAAAGCAGGUCAUAGUGAUCCGGUGGUUCUGAAUGGAAGGGCCAUCGCUCAACGGAUAAAAGGUACUCCGGGGAUAACAGGCUGAUACCGCCCAAGAGUUCAUAUCGACGGCGGUGUUUGGCACCUCGAUGUCGGCUCAUCACAUCCUGGGGCUGAAGUAGGUCCCAAGGGUAUGGCUGUUCGCCAUUUAAAGUGGUACGCGAGCUGGGUUUAGAACGUCGUGAGACAGUUCGGUCCCUAUCUGCCGUGGGCGCUGGAGAACUGAGGGGGGCUGCUCCUAGUACGAGAGGACCGGAGUGGACGCAUCACUGGUGUUCGGGUUGUCAUGCCAAUGGCACUGCCCGGUAGCUAAAUGCGGAAGAGAUAAGUGCUGAAAGCAUCUAAGCACGAAACUUGCCCCGAGAUGAGUUCU
rnacentral:rRNA from 2 species